UCGAGGAUCUUUAGCAAUGGGCGAAAGCCUGACUAUGCGACGCCGCGUGAGGGAUGAAGGAUUUCGGUUCGUAAACCUCUUUCGAUAGGGAAGAAACCUCCGCUUAACUAGCGGAAUUGACGGUACCUAGAGAAGAAGCCACGGCCAACUCCGUGCCAGCAGCCGCGGUAAUACGGGGGUGGCGAGCGUUACUCGGAUUUAUUGGGUGUAAAGGGCAGGUAGGCGUUCUGUCAAGUUAGAAGUGAAAUCCUAAGGCUCAACCUUAGAACUGCUUUUAAAACUGACAGAAUUGAGACUAGAAGAGGAGAGCGGAAUUCCCGGUGUAAGGGUGAAAUCUGUAGAUAUCGGGAGGAACACCAGUGGCGAAAGCGGCUCUCUGGUCUGGUUCUGACACUAAGCUGCGAAAGCUAGGGGAGCAAACAGG
rnacentral:rRNA from 1 species